AUGCAAAAGCUUAUGUUUCUCUCGUCGGAGCCGAAGAGUAUAACACCUGCAUGCAUGCUGCCGGACGUGACGUUUGUCGUGGAGCAGACCGAGAUCCAGGCGCACAGGCUCAUCCUAGCCAUGCGGUCACCGGUGUUCGCAGCCGAGCUCCUUGGUGACAUGAGAGAGGGUACCACCCGUCGCGUCAUGGUCGAUGACAUGAGCGCCUCAACCUUCAGGGCCAUGCUCCGCUUCAUCUACACCGACGAGCUGCCCAUCAAAGGAAAGACAACUAACGAACGUGGUUGCAAACAAAAACGUGCCGCAAGGCGUCGUGUGGACAUGGCGCUUGAUCUGCUCGUUGCGGCGGAUCGCUACGACCUAGAGAAGCUGGGGCUCAUGUGCGAGAAGAUAUUGUCCGAAAGCAUCGACACCGCGUCUGUCAUCCCAACGUUGAUGGGGGUGCACGGCCGACAUAGUUGCCGUCAGCUAGAGACCUCUUGCAUUGAGUACUUGGCGUCUGAUGCCAACGUGUACGCCAAUGUCAAGGCGACAGAGGAGUACAAGGAGCUAAAGGAAAGCUGUUGUUCUUUCCUAGCAGGUGUCACAGACAAAGUAGCCACUUGUAAAUUAGUGGACAGCCACGCAGACACCAGCCUCUGCCGGCCGGAGAAACGGACUAUGUCGACGUACAACACGUCGGAGGUGGCUCACAGUAUACACGAGUUGAGGAUCCCAAACUUUAAGAGCCUGCAUACGAGCCAUGGUGUUAAACAAAGAUUCAGUUCUGACACUUUCCAGAUAGGAGGCCAUGACUGGAAGUUGGAGGUAUCAGUGAAGGAAGGGAGAAUUUCCGUGUUCACCGAAUUGUUGACAGAUCCAGGAACGGCUAGUGUUAGGGUGUCCUUAUGUUUCAUGAUGGAUGACCCUGGUGGCAACUCGCCCCUCAUCAUGUGGCAAGCUGAAGAAACCUUCAACUCAGAAGGUGAUUCUUGUGGGUUUUCGUGUUCGAUCAGCCAGGAAGAUGAUGUGUCAGUAUACGCUGAUGAUGGCUCUCUAACCAUUCGCUGCGACUUUGUAUUGACCAACAAGUUGUGCACUGUUACGAGUGCCACUUCAGCCGGUGUCGAAGACAUGACUCUUGCGCCACCACCCAACAUUGUGUCUCAUCUUGAGCAGCUCCUGGUGAGCGAGAAGGGCUCAGAUGUGACGUUCCUAGUCGAAAACAGAGAGAUUCACGCACACAGCCUCGUCAUCGCCACACGGUCCCCGGCCCUAUACACGAUGGUUCUGGCCACCAACCAGGAGGAGGAGCACAUCGUACCAGUCUGGGGUAUGAGGGUUGAAGUCUUCAAGGCGGUGCUUCGCUUCAUCUACGCCGACGAGCUGCCUCCCUUGGAAGAAAUAGCCCUUGCUACGGGGCAUGGUGUGACAACUAUUGCCCAAGACAUGUUGGUUGCCGCGUCUCGCUUCCAUCUGGACAGGAUGAAGGACAAGUGCGAGACCUUGGUUGGUGAGUGCGUGUCAGAACGGAACGUGGUGACCAUGCUCGGACUAGCGUGCCGUCACAACUGCAAGAAGCUCGAGGAUUACUGCAUGAAGUUCAACUGA
rnacentral:rRNA from 1 species